rfam:Cicer arietinum chromosome Ca7, whole genome shotgun sequence.
UAAACAUGAUUGGGGCAUCCUACUAGUAAACUCUUCAAAUUCUUGUAAGUGUCACGAAGAAAUUCUCUUUCUUUCUAUUUGUAACCAGAAAUCUCUUUCCUUUUUCG